rnacentral:rRNA from 1 species
GAUGAACGCUGGCGGCGUGCCUAAUACAUGCAAGUCGAGCGAAUGGAUUAAGAGCUUGCUCUUAUGAAGUUAGCGGCGGACGGGUGAGUAACACGUGAGUAACCUGCCCAUAAGACUGGGAUAACUCCGGGAAACCGGGGCUAAUACCGGAUAACAUUUUGAACCGCAUGGUUCGAAAUUGAAAGGCGGCUUCGGCUGUCACUUAUGGAUGGACCCGCGUCGCAUUAGCUGGUUGGUGAGGUAACGGCUCACCAAGGCAACGAUGCGUAGCCGACCUGAGAGGGUGAUCGGCCACACUGGGACUGAGACACGGCCCAGACUCCUACGGGAGGCAGCAGUAGGGAAUCUUCCGCAAUGGACGAAAGUCUGACGGAGCAACGCCGCGUGAGUGAUGAAGGCUUUCGGGUCGUAAAACUCUGUUGUUAGGGAAGAACAAGUGCUAGUUGAAUAAGCUGGCACCUUGACGGUACCCAACCAGAAAGCCACGGCUAACUACGUGCCAGCCGCCGCCGUAA